UCCUGGCGUCAGGAUGAACGCUAGCGGCAGGCCUAUACAUGCAAGACGAACGGUAAGUUGAGUAGCAAUACUUAGCCAAGAGUGUCGUACGGGUGCGUAACACGUAUGCAACCUACCCUAUACAGGAGGAUAGCCUAGGGAAACCUGGAUUAACCCUUCAUAGUAUUAUUGGAUGGCAUCAUUUGAUAAUUAAAACUGAGGUGGUAUAGGAUGGGCAUGCGUCUGAUUAGUUAGUUGGCGGGGUAAUGGCCCACCAAGACGAUGAUCAGUAGGGGUUCGUGAGAGGAAGAUCCCCCCACACUGGCACUGAGAUACGGGCCAGACUCCUACGGGAGGCAGCAGUAGGGAAUAUUGGUCAAUGGAUGCAAGUCUGAACCAGCCAUGCCGCGUGCAGGAAGAAGGCCUUCUGGGUUGUAAACUGCUUUUGCCAGGGGAUAAAAUUUCCAUGCGUGGAAAACUGAAGGUACCUGGUAAAUAAGCCACGGCUAACUACGUG
rnacentral:rRNA from 1 species